GGGGGGAAAAUUAAUAAUUUUGAUGAUAAUAAAAAAAUUUUUAAUAAAUUAUUUUAAUGGGGGUUAAAGUAUUUUUAUAGAAAAAAUUUAAAAUUUUAUAGUUUAAUAGUAUUGUAGGGGAAUAUUUGAAAUAAGUUGAAAAUUAAUUUAAUAUAAAGUAAUUUUAAUUUAGUGUAUCUUGUGUAUCAGAGUUUAUUAAAAAAUUUAUUUAUUUAAAAAUUUCUCGAAUUUAAAAGAGAUAAUUAAUUAUAAAAGUUAUUGUAGCAAAAAUAUUUUUAAUAAUUAAUUUGAAAUGAAAUGUUAUUCGUUUUUAAAUAUAUCUAGUUUUUUUAGAAAAAAAUUUAAUUUUAUAUUUUUUUAAGGAAAAAAAUUAUUAUAAUAAUUUUUUUCCUUAAAAAAUAUAAUAAUUUAAGGGAUAAGCUUUAAGUUAAAUUAUUAUAAUAAUAAUAAUUUUAAAUAUUAAAAUUUUUAAAAUUUAUAUUGUUUUUAAAUUAUAGUUUUUUAUAAAUAAUUUUAUAUAAAAAAAAAUUUAAAUUAAAAUUUAAUUUUUUAUAAAAAAUUAAUUUUUAGUGAGAAAAAAUUAAAAAUAAUGAUAAAAUUAGUAUAUAAAUUAAAAUUAAUAUUUAAUAAUUUAAUAAAAUUAAUUGAAAAGAAUUCGGCAAAAUUUUAUAUUCACUUGUUUAACAAAAACAUGUCUUUUUGAGAAAUAAUUUAAAGUCUAAUCUGCCCACUGAUUUAUUAUAAUAUAUUAAAGGGCUGCAGUAUAUUGACUGUACAAAGGUAGCAUAAUCAUUAGUCUCUUAAUUGGUGACUUGUAUGAAAGAUUGGAUGAGAUAUAAACUGUUUCUUAAUUAUUUAUAUAAUUUAAUUUUUUAAUCAAAAAGUUAAAAUAAUUUUAAAAGACGAGAAGACCCUAUAGAGUUUAAUAAAAUUAUUUACUUAUUUAUUUAUAAAUAAUUAUUAGAUAAUAGUAAUUUAAUUUUAUUUUAUUGGGGUGAUAAAAAAAUUAAAUUAACUUUUUUUAAAAAAAAUUACAAAGAUAAAUGAAUAAAUGAUCCUUAAAUUAUGAUUAUAAGAGAAAAUUACCUUAGGGAUAACAGCGUAAUUUUUUUUUUUAGUUCAAAUAAAAAAAAAAGUUUGCGACCUCGAUGUUGGAUUAAGAUAAAAUUUAAAUGCAAAAGUUUAAAAUUUUGAUCUGUUCGAUCAUUAAAAUCUUACAUGAUCUGAGUUCAAACCGGUGUAAGCCAGGUUGGUUUCUAUCUUUAAAAUAUUAUAAUAUUUUAGUACGAAAGGAUCAAAUAUUAAAAAUAAUUUUAUAAUUUAAUGAAUAUUAUUAAUUUAUUAUUAUAUAUAUAUAUAUAUAUUUAACA
rnacentral:rRNA from 1 species